rnacentral:misc_RNA from 1 species
AGGGAUGAGUGGGUAUCCCUACCUGAUCCGAGGUCAACCUGAAAAAAUUGGGGGUUAUUGGCAAGUAACCACCUGGAUCUCCAAAGCGAGAAGAAUUACUACGCUUGAAGCCAAAUGGCACCGCCACUGAUUUUAAGACCUGCCAGAAACUGGCAAUGUCCAAUACCAAGCAAAGCUUGAGGGUUGUAAUGACGCUCGAA